CUUUAUUAAUAUAAAGAAGCUAUUCUUUGGAAACUCAAACAAAACAAUCCCUUUUUAUCCUUUUUCUCAUUUCUCAUGCUUCCAUUUUGGAUUAGGGUUAGGGUUUCGCUGUGCUCUUCUUUCACUUUGAAGCUUAAACCCCAGUCGUCCCGAUCCUUCUCAACUAGCCGUUAGAUCCUAUUUCCCGCCAAUUUCUAUAUCAUCCCAGCCGUUGAUUCACCUUAUUUCAAAUCUUAGCUGUUAGAUCUGUCCUAUUCGGUACCAUUUCUUUUUUCUCAUACCAUUUCAGUGGAAAUGUCAGCGGUUGAAGCGGAGAAGAAGGUCGAUGACGAGAAAAAGGGAGGGGAAGUAUUGUUUUGUGGUGCCACUUGUUGGAAUAUGAUUGGUCGCAAGAAAGGUUCUCAGGAAGGCAACUUGGUCUCUCCUACUCGUCUCCGUCCUCUCGUCGGCGUCGACAUUCGCUUUGUUGCCUCCGGCUGCGCAUCAUGUCAUUGUGUGGCCCUGGACGUGGAAGGGCGUUGCUAUACAUGGGGGCGUAAUGAGAAGGGGCAACUUGGUCAUGGAGACAGAUUUCGGCGUGAUGGGCCUACAAUUGUUUCAGAACUUUCAAAUUAUAAAAUUAUUAGAGCUGGUUCGGGGAGGAGCCACACAGUGGUGGUCACAGAGGAUGGUCAAUCCCUAGCAUUUGGCUGGAAUAAACAUGGGCAGCUAGGUUCUGGUUCGGCAAAAAAUGAAAUCGAGUCAUCUCCUGUUCGCUGUCUCGUGUCUGACGUCAAGAAUACUGCUUGUGGAGCUGAUUUUACUGUCUGGUUGUCAUCUGUUGAAGGAGCUUCUAUACUAACUGCGGGCCUUCCACAGUAUGGUCAGCUUGGACAUGGAACGGACAAUGAGUACAAUACUAAAGAUAGCUCAGUCAGGCUUGCUUAUGAGGCACAGCCACGGCCUAGAGCAAUUGCUUCUCU
rnacentral:misc_RNA from 1 species